GAACUGGGGGGGGACUAAUUGUUGGUGCAGGAAUUAGCACCUCCGACAAUACCAAUUUAAACCAAGGAAUAACGUGAAUAAAAUCGAGAAUUCGAUUGAACCGGGGAAUCCC
rnacentral:sRNA from 1 species